GCAUAUCAAUAAGCGGAGGAAAAGAAACCAACAGGGAUUGCCCUAGUAACGGCGAGUGAAGCGGCAACAGCUCAAAUUUGAAAUCUGGCUCCGGCCCGAGUUGUAAUUUGCAGAGGAAGCUUCUGGUGAUAUACCGUCUAAGUCCCCUGGAACGGGGCGCCACAGUGGGUGAGAGCCCCAUAUGACGGAUGUAGAUCCUGUGUGAAGCUCCUUCGACGAGUCGAGUAGUUUGGGAAUGCUGCUCAAAAUGGGAGGUAAAUUCCUUCUAAAGCUAAAUAUUGGCCAGAGACCGAUAGCGCACAAGUAGAGUGAUCGAAAGAUGAAAAGCACUUUGAAAAGAGGGUUAAACAGCACGUGAAAUUGUUGAAAGGGAAGCGCUUAUGACCAGACUUGCGCUGGGCUGAUCAUCCGGUGUUCUCACCGGUGCACUCGGCCCAGCUCAGGCCAGCAUCGGUUUUGGUGGGGGGAUAAAGGCGCUGGGAACGUAGCUCCUUCGGGAGUGUUAUAGCCCAGCGUGCAAUGCCCCCGCCGGGACCGAGGUUCGCGCAUCUGCAAGGAUG
rnacentral:rRNA from 1 species